rnacentral:rRNA from 1 species
AGCAUUGCAUUAUGUGAUAACUUCUGUGAAAUGCAGGACACACAGAAUAGAGAUUACUUGAACGCAAAUGACAGUCGCGGGACCUGUGCCCGCGGCUACAUCUGUCUGGGGCAUUAAAAAUAUCACGGAGCAAAGGCUGGUCACCUUAAAAUUGCUCCUGGCAA